rnacentral:piRNA from 1 species
UGCCAGACAACAAGCUUCCCUGCUUUUGU